CCGUGUUGAAACAAACUGGCAGCACAACCUUACUUCACCCAGUCAAAAGUUUAUAAAAUCCCAUCCCAUAACCAUUAUUCAAAUAUGACUGGAAGCGACGAAGAUAAUGUAUUGACCAUCACGAAUAAUGUGAUAGCAAAAUAAAGCGAGAUAAUUGUUGAACUUGUGAGGAAAUUGGAAAUGCUUCAAGAGGUGAUGAACCUUACUAGAGAUUUGGCUAAUCUGGCCAUCACUGUC
rnacentral:lncRNA from 1 species